UAGGGAAUCUUCCACAAUGGACGCAAGUCUGAUGGAGCAACGCCGCGUGAGUGAAGAAGGUCUUCGGAUCGUAAAGCUCUGUUGUUGGUGAAGAAGGAUAGAGGCAGUAACUGGUCUUUAUUUGACGGUAAUCAACCAGAAAGUCACGGCUAACUACGUG
rnacentral:rRNA from 2 species